GGUUGCGAUCAUACCAGCACUAAUGCACCGGAUCCCAUCAGAACUCCGCAGUUAAGCGUGCUUGGGCGAGAGUAGUACUAGGAUGGGUGACCCCCUGGAAAGUCCUCGUGUUGCAACCC
rnacentral:rRNA from 1 species